rnacentral:rRNA from 12 species
UAAAGAGUGCGUAAUAGCUCACUGGUCGAGAGUCUCUGCGCCGACAAUGUAACGGGGCUAAGUUAUGAACCGAAGCUGUGGAAUUGCGCAAGCAAUUGGUAGGAGAGCGUUCUGUAGGCCGUUGAAGGAGAAGCGUAAGCAACUCUGGAGGUAUCAGAAGUGAGAAUGCAGGAAUAAGUAGCGAGAAGGGAGGCGAGAAUCCUCCCCGCCGGAAGACCAAGGUUUUCAGGGUAAAGCUUGUCUUCCCUGAGUAAGCCGGGACCUAAGCCGAGGCUAUAGUGCGUAGGCGAAUGGAAAACAGAUUAAUAUUUCUGUGCCAGUCAUAUUUUGUGAUGGAGGGACGCAGAAGGGUAUGUACGCGGAAGAACGGUAGUUUCCGUAAAAGCAUGUAGAAUGGCUUGAUAGGCAAAUCCGUCAAGCUAGAUUUGAGGUGUGAUAUAUAGUCGUAAGAUGAAUGUACAGAUCCCACGCUGCCGAGAAAAGCUUCUAACGUUAAGGUAUGACUGCCCGUACCCGAAACCGACACAGGUGGUCAGGAUGAGAAAUCUAAGGCGGACAGGCUAACUCUCGUUAAGGAACUCUGCAAAAUAGCCCCGUAACUUCGGGAGAAGGGGUGCCCCUGAGUGU